rnacentral:pre_miRNA from 1 species
UGUUUAGUAUAAGUUAUGUCUCAUGUAAUAUUUGGGAUAUACUUACACUAAAA